UUAAAAUUAAUAGUCUUCAAAACGUCCAACCCACUUUUCCCAUCCCAAGACCAAUGUAAUAAUUAUACAUAGGAUUCUGCAUAGAUAGUCAAACCAAAAUCAAGGGCUUCUCAGGUUAAAAAUGAGAAAAAAAUAUGAGAAAAAAAUAUUAAAUAUGAGAAAAAAAAGCAGAAAGCCUGUGCUGAAGAGACUUGUUCAAAGCUUCCCAGCUGGUGAAAAACAGUAGUCCCAAAACAUCACCUUCUAGAGAGGGUGAUGCUGGGGAGAUGGGCUAAGGAAAGCAGUGCAGCUGAAGUUAAUUAUUAGUUACAUAUCUCUCUGCAGGCCUGUGGAAUUUCUCAAUGCUGUGUCAGGCUCCCACUAAAUUAAGGUUUCCAGCUAUGGGGGAUUGAUGGUGGACUCCAAUUCCAUCAUCAGCUUGAGCAUAUCAAAAAGUAAAUAUCUCCUACCACUUAUGAUGAAGAGAUUUAACAACUGUGCAACAAAAUAGGAGACAAGAAAGAGCAGCAGUCAAAUUUGGAAAGUGCAAAUUCCAUACACUUCAAAUACAGUGAUAUAUAUGACUUAAAUACAUCUGCUGUUAGAAGACAUACAUCCUAGAGGUGUUUCCAGUUAGAUUGCAAUCUGUUCAAGAUCUGUUCCCAGUACUGGGAAGCAACUGGCACACUAAGUGGCAGUAGUUGUCAGCUGCAGGCCCACGAUUUCUAAAAUGGAGGCCCUGAGACCUGCAGCUAACAUCCUGAGUGGUACCACCUCUGGUUCCUAAAGGGUAGUGUUCCCCUUGAGAAAUGACAGCAUCAAGACUGUAAGUCUGCAUCCUCCUCUCUGUCUCCUGUUCCAGUAUGAUGCUGAGCUGUGCUGGGCAGCUGGAGCAGUUUGCAUCCCUUUUGCACAGGAUUUCAAAAGACUCAGAGCAAUGGGAAAGAGCAUGAUCUACACACUACUUGUUCCAGGAAAGAGCUGCAUUGAAAGGUGACAAGAAUGCCUGCAAAAUUUAAUUUUCCAUCAGCAUUUCUCAGCUACUGGGACACCCAGGGUCAAAUAAAACUGUGACUGGGUCUGUGUUGUCUCAAAACAUUUCAUAUAACCAGAGAGAACACAAAAUGAGAUCCUUCUCGCAGAAUUCACAAAUUGAGUUCAGUAAAGCUUUUAUGAGAACAUGUCAAGAAAAUCAUGAGAGUUUGGCAGCCUUCCUCUUUUUUUACAAAGCCUAAUUCCUUCACGUAGUUAUACAAACCGCAUUGUGAAUUUAAGUUAUGAAAUAAGACUGAAGCCUUCCUGAGAUUUUGUAUUUUUUGUGACCUCUUAGGGGAAGAAAAGGUCAUAAAAUUCCCAAAGGUUUAGAAAGAAGUAACAUCUGCUGGACUGUGAAGUAAUGCCCAUCCCCCUUUUUUAUUCCAAAGAGAUGACAUUACACUUCAUGUGGUUUACUCCAAAAGUUCCCUGGACAGUAGACAUGAAGAUGGUCUGGCCAGAAAAGCUGAUGACACGCAAAUGAAUCCCAAGAACAAAUAUGUAUCUGAUGAGUCUGUCAGUUUACAGAUUUGGUCACUUUGUCUAACUAUUACAGAUUCACUGGUUAUUUCCAAAGAGAAACAGAGUUCAAAACAAUAACCUUUACGUAUUCUUUAUUUAAGGCAAUUAAUGCUUCUCUGCUUUCUGCUAGAAUUACUGUUUUGCCUUACUAUACAUGGAGUAGGACUAAUGGAGGAAAAAUACAAGAAUAAGAAAAAAUGGCUGGCCUUUGAAUUUAGUUAUGCAAGACUGAAUGUUGCUCAGUCUUUAAUAUUUGUGUUCCAGACCCAGCUGAAGGCUAUUGCUGUGGUCAGGUCUCUGUCAUGCAAGAAGCUGUACAGGAAACUUCUGCAUGUUAUUGAAAUACAAGCAUAAGGCAAAUUGUGUCAGGACACUAUUUUAGAUGUUGCCUUCAGGACUUGAUUCCAAGGAAAACCCUGAAAAACUGAAGUGGAUUUUUACAGGGAUAAUUCUAAAGGGGUGGCAUGCGGAUGUUGAAGCUUCCUCAUGAAGGCUCCUAGCAAGUCCUGUUCCCUAUCCCACACUGCUGACCUUUUGGGUUCAGGGCUUCCUUAUCUCUAGGAGCUCCUUAUCUGUAGGGCUGCUUGUGCCUGGGGGCACUGCCACAAAGCCUUGUGGUCUGUGGGCUCAGGCAGGGUCUGGGCUCAGGCAGAAGCGGCCAUGCUCUGCCAAGUGGCACUGCAGGGAGGAAAGCCUGGAGGUGUGUCUGAGCCACCCUGCUGUGUCCUGGUUGGGUUUUGGGAGCAGGCAGCCCAGGCUGUGUGUGGUUGGCAGUGCUGCUCCUUACACCCAUGUGGCUGCUUUGUGCCCAACAGGUUAAAAAAAUCCCUUUUGCUAAGGAGAAAGCACUGCUUCCGACUGUUGUACUUCUACUAUUUCUGGCAUUACCUCUGCUACUGAAACUGGAGGAAGCAGGAAGCCUUGUCUGUGAGCACCCUCCCUCCUAAGCCUUUAUAAAUGUAAGCAAAAAUAGGUUCUUCCCCUGUCUCUUGAGGGUUUUCUCUCUAACCUAGUCAAAGCUGCAGGUUUUCAACAACAGCUGUUCUCCACCCCAUGGCUCUCCUCAUGUCUGCAGCUCACCACGAAAGCCAGGAGGUGACCUGUAGGACUUUGGCCAGAAAGGUUUUGUCCUGUUGCCAGUUUGGGCUUGUGCCACUGAGCAGGUUCAUCCCACCUUAGGACUGGAUGAGUAAUGCUAUAGCAACCACAAACAAACACAAUAAGAAAAUUCCCCCUUUGUGACAAGCCCCACUUGGAAGUGGAAUGGGAAAGAAAUAAAAGAAAGAAAAAAAAAACAAACACACACACAAGGGGAGUAGGUAGCUCAAUUAAAAAUAGCCUCAACCUAUUGGCAAGUGUUUAAUAGCAUUUCUUCUGGGCCCGGCAUUGCAAUUUGCCUGGAUGCCUUUCUUGUGGAGUGUGGAACUCAAGAAAGAGGAAGCUGAUAAUGUACCGUUCAACUGCACUACUGAUGUGCCACUAGGUCUCCAACAAGUGGUUACAGUUUGUAGCUUUUUGCUUCUUCAGAAGGCAAAAAGUGGGUGACACCUGGAUCCCGUUGGCUCAUCUUUGGUUUUCUACUAGGCCUCAGAGCUUCUUUCCUGAAGGUGGCUGUGUGUCAGCUGAAGUGGCAGCAUGCCUGUCGCAGAGCUCUCCCACCCCUUCCUUUUAUCUUUCAGCUGAGUAAUCUCUCCUACAUAAGAGAGGGAGAACUUGAAUUUGUUCAUAUAUCAAAUAUUGUGAUUAUAAGUGGGAAGCCUUCCUAUUUUCCUCUGCUGGGAAGGGCAGCAGCUUUGUCUCAUGCACCCAGGCAGGGAUGCUGCCCCCACCUUACAAAGGGCCCAAAGCAGCCCAAACCAAAGACAAACAAAGACUCUACGUACUUGGCAGUUCCUGGCAGGGGACAAGGGCAAGGCUGGCAGAAGGUGGGCACUCCUCUGACAACAUCACCGAUGAAGCCGUCCGGACACUGAUCGCAGUGCUCCCCUGUUGUGUUUCUUUGGCAGCCCUUCAGUGAAAAGAGAGAGAGUGAUGAAAGUCAGAUGAAAGUACUGCCUAGUUCAGAAAGAAAUCAUUUAGCUAAACACCUGGCCAAGCAGAAUAGGGGUUUAUGCCAGACUCCAAUUCUUCAAGGAAUCAAAGGCUGAAACCAGACCCAGUAUUAGCUAGCACAGCUACAAAUAAAAAUGCUCUAAAUGAUCACACUGGCCAGCCAGCAAAUGUUGGCAAGGUGCAGGAGAGGACAAAACAGACAUAUGUGCGUGCUGGGUGCUGGAGCAGAAACAGGACCGGCUGCUGUCAGAGAUGCCAUGGGUACUCAGGUGUAGCGGUCAGCUUUGCUCUGAGUUGUAAGUGCCAGCAGGAAAGAUCGUUUUUGCUGCUAUCAAACCAACAUGAAAAAUGUCUGAAGGUAAAUGCUGUCAACAGAUUUCAGUCUAGGCAGGUUUCAGCAAGGCUGCUCCUUGGGCUCAAUGAUUGGAAAAGAGCAUCAGGGGAAUCUGCAGGCAAAUGGUGGCUAAUACACCAUGUGCCUCUGAUGCUUUUCUCCUGAGAUGAAAUGUGUUACAGUAUCAAGGGAUGCUUUAUCAUUAUGCCAUGUUCUCAUCUUAAAAGAGGUCUGCUUAAUGGUGGGAAGAAGUGGGAGCCUAACAUAUUUCUUUCUCAUGCCAAACUACAUUUGCAGUGGCUUUUCUAUAAAAUACAGAGCAACUGCACAAAAUGUCGCUCACUUUCUAAGCAAAUUUUAUCUCUGCAGUCUGAUAUUUCUGAGGAAAUAUAAUUCCCCAUGCAGAGGAAAAUCAGCCACUGGAGUUCCAUGACAAUAAAUCAAGCUAUGGUAACUUAUACAGAAUAUUUAUUUGAAAAUAUUUCAUGAUGCUGGGUACAAAAUUGUGCCUCUCAGAUAACAUACAUACAAAAGUCAAAUUUCUCUGUAAACAACACUAAAUUGAAUUCAGAGGUUCUGCAGGCCCAAAUAAGCAUUUUUACAUCAUUUAAUUUAAAAAUGGAUAAACACAGAUGUGACAGGUUACGUGGGCUUUCCCCUGUGCACAUGGCAAUGCUCCCACCUUCAUUUCAGUAAAAUACCCAGAAGCUGCCAUUGAAAACACACAACCCUCCAAAUUCUAACUGUCUUGUUGAAUUGCUUUUCAAAGAGUAGGAAGGGUGCAGAAGCACUUUUCUUUCUUGCAACUGUGCAAUGGGUUUUGCAAUAUCCCUGAAUGAGAACUCUGCAAUGACACCACUUCUUACUGAUACAGUACGGAUGCAAACAGCAAUGCAAAGCAAGCAAAGAGCCAGGUCCAUGGCAGAAGUGUGCAGAGCACUGUGCAGUGCAUAUUUGCUGUGGUUUUGGGUUCAUGUCCUUGAUUCUCCUCUUCAGACCUACAAACAGCAGAUCAUGGAAGCUAUAGACUGAUGAAUGUAAUUUCCAUCCCUGGUGAGAUGACAGCAUCUGUAAUGAAGAAGAAGGUCUCAGCGUAUGCAGCUAAGUACCAUCUGAGUCAGGGAGUCCUGCUUCACUAACCUGCUGUAUAAUGGAGCAAAUAAGCAAGUGUAUGAAGGGGAUCCAGAGGACAUUUCCGGAAUUUCAAAAAAGUCAACUAAAUUGUCAGAGGACUUGAAGAAUGUUUCUUUUGCAAAUUGAAAUCUGGUAAAGGCUAGGAAGCAAAGGGUCAGAUGUAAUGGUCACUUUUCAGAAUGGGGAAGUCACUAGAUCACCUAAGCUUUGGUCCUGAGACCAGAUUCGUUCAGUAUUCACCAGUGUCUUAUGAAUAGAGACCAAAAAUGGUAGGGCUGUUCAGGUAGGAGAGAAAGGCCGACAGAAGAGGGUAUUUGAGAUAUGUAAAAUAAAGAUAAAUAAAUAUAUUUAUUUAUCUUUUUUUAAUUUAUUUUUUAUUCAGUUUAUUUAUUAAAAUAAAUAAAUAAAUAAAUAAAAUAAAUAAAUAUUUUUUAUUUAUUAAAAUAAAUAAACUGAAUAAACUGAACGCAGGACAAUUGUUCACUCAAAAUCUGUAGUACAGGAGAAGAAGAACACUCAGUAAAAUUAUUAGGAGACUUCACUUUUAGGAGGUUUGACUUUAAAAGGUACUUCUUUAUCCAGAAGGUAAGAAACUUCUGCAACUUGCUGCCAGGAAGCAACAGUUUUUGCAGGGGUGAAAAUUUCCAAGAGAGAUUCAUGGAGAAUGUGUUCAUAAAUUAACACUAAGAGGAUUCAGGAUGUAUGUAUGCUAUGUAUUUAUGUACAUUAAUGU